UGGAUCACCUCCUAACAGGGAGACAACAACUGAUCGUGAUGUCUGAGUACUCUAUUCUCAGGCCAUGAUCCUGUCAUCUCGAAGGUCGAUCGGUACCUCAAUUUCAAACCUAGUAGCACUUGAGCAAUCAGGCUGUUGACUGAGGUUUGAUCUUUAGUUCCUAAACGUUGUCUAGGUCACCCCAUAGAGGGUUCACUUCCUGGGCCAUUAGCUCAGGUGGUUAGAGCGCACCCCUGAUAAGGGUGAGGUCCCUGGUUCAAGUCCAUGAUGGCCCAUUCAAACCAUGAUCAACUCCGAUCGUUCAGGUUAGCCCUGACAAUCUGGAGAAGAGACAGGUCUUGGGGGUUUAGCUCAGUUGGUAGAGCGCCUGCUUUGCAAGCAGGAUGUCAGCGGUUCGAGUCCGCUAACCUCCACUAACAUCUGAACUCCAAACCAGGAAGCGAUUCUUGGGAGGUGACUAGACGUUGUUCGCUGAUCGAGUUCAGCCUCAGAUCAUCUCCAGAACUGACCGCAUGGUGGUCAGGAUCCAUGGAUUGAUCUGAUGCUGGAUUCAGCAGAGAGGGCCGCAAGGCCGUUUUUGUUUGAGUUUCAGCAGAACCUUGACAACUGCAUAGGUGAGUCUGGAAAGACAAAGCAUCUCAUAGAGGCGAGAUGACAAAAGCUGAAAGGCUUGAGUCAACUCGUGAUUCUAUUUUUGAGAGCCGAGACCUUCUAGCGUUCUCCCCAAUCCGCCGAGGUGCGGGGAGUUUGAUCCCCGUUUCUAUGGUCUCAGAAAUGAGCGUAGAAACUUGAGAGAAUAGGCCUCAACAGCCUGAAGCGUUAGGAGGGUUAAUUGGUCAAGCUACAAAGGGCUCACGGUGGAUACCUUGGCACACAGAGGCGAUGAAGG
rnacentral:tRNA from 1 species